rnacentral:rRNA from 1 species
UCGGCUUAGAGUUUGAUCAUGGCUCAGGACGAACGCUGGCGGCAUGCCUAAUACAUGCAAGUCGAACGAGUGCUUGCACAGUGGCGAACUGGUGAGUAACACGUGGGAAAUCUGCCCAGAAGCAGGGGAUAACACUUGGAAACAGGUGCUAAUACCGUAUAACAACAAAUCCGCAUGGAUUUUGUUGAAAGGUGUUCGUAUCACUUCUGGAUGAUCCCGCGGCGUAUUAGUUAGUUGGUGAGGUAAAGGCCCACCAAGACGAUGAUACGUAGCCGACCUGAGAGGGUAAUCGGCCACAUUGGGACUGAGACACGGCCCAAACUCCUACGGGAGGCAGCAGUAGGGAAUCUUCCACAAUGGACGAAAGUCUGAUGGAGCAAUGCCGCGUGAGUGAAGAAGGGUUUCGGCUCGUAAAACUCUGUUGUUAAAGAAGAACACCUUUGAGGUAAUUCAAGGGUUGACGGUAUUUAACCAGAAAGCCACGGCUAACUACGUGCCAGCAGCCGCGGUGAUACGUAGGUGGCAAGCGUUGUCCGGAUUUAUUGGGCGUAAAGCGAGCGCACGCGGUUUUUUAAGUCUGAUGUGAAAGCCUUCGGCUUAACCGGAGAAGUGCAUCGGAAACUGGGAGACUUGAGUGCAGAAGAGGACAGUGGAACUCCAUGUGUAGCGGUGGAAUGCGUAGAUAUAU